GUUACAACUGCUUGUCUUGCAGCAAAAUUUGACAAAACAAAUGGAGAUUGUGAAUUUCACCAAGUAUAUAACGUACAUACACCUAUUAUGGUGGUGAAUGAAAACAGCAGUAUUGUCGUUGUAAAGAGUGAAUUAAAUGUUGAUGUUUUAAUUGGGAGCUGGAUGAAUUAUGGAGCACUAGAUUGCUAUACAGGGAGUAGUCAUGACUACAAAGGAACACACAACAAAACAAUUUCUAACAGGACAUGUCAAGGAUGGAACACAAAUUACCCACAU